rfam:Ovis aries breed Texel chromosome 1, whole genome shotgun sequence.
UCCCAGAUGGUUCAGUGGUAAAGAAUCCAUCUGCCAAGCAGGAGAUCCAGGUUUGAUUCCUGGAUUGGGAA